rnacentral:lncRNA from 1 species
UCGGACACGACUGAGCGACUGAACUGAACUGAACUGAACUGAACUGUGCCAACUAAGACCUGGACAGCCAAAUAAAAACAAAUACUAAACUAAUAACUUGAAGAAAGAAAAAAAAAGGCAAACAGACAAUUGCAGUUUGCCUGGGGAUCGAUAGGUGUUUUCAGGGACAUACAGAAGGCAUUCAACAAAUGCCUGUGGAUGAGGAUAAAAAGCUGUCAUCAGUGAAAUCUAGACAUGCCCAGGGCAGGGCAGAAAUCACGGGCAGCCAGAGGCUCUGGGGCUGAAAGCAGCACUUAGACCAGGAAGCAGGACGUGAGCUGAGACCGAGCUCCUCCAGAGGUUCUUUGGGGACCUCGGUUCAUCUGCUGGUUCAACCCCGUGAAAUGGGAAUUAUCAAAGUCUGAAGACCUUCCCUCCAGUGAAGAAACCCUUGGCAACGUGGAGAGGCCUGAACUGUGAGCGGGAGCCCUGGGCUCUGGCCUCAAGUCUGGUGCCAGCGUCUGCCACCUUGAACCAGCCACGUGAGCUCUCUGGAUCUCAGUCCCCUCGGCCCCGGGGUGGCCGGCUGGACAGCAGGUGUGUCCAGAGCCCUGACCAGCCCUGGGGCCUCCCCGAGGUGCUCACGCGAGAGCAGGGAGCUGGGUGCACGCCCACCGCCCAUGGCUUCAGUGCGGGCAGUGCUGCCUCCCGAGGGACCCCCAGAGCACCCAGCCCCAGCGCGUUUAAGGGCAGGGCAGUGUGUCGCAGACUGCCUGCGUUCCUCACUCCUCAACCCUGCCGAUUCAGAAGCUGGACUGGAUCCGACGUCCACCUGCUGCUCCCGGCACGUCUCAGCCGGCAGGAGACAAAGGCGAGCUCACAGGGAGGUGUGAUCCAAGCUGAGUGUCCAGAAACCCUCUUCCUACAAAGCUUCUUGAUCUCAGAGUGGUCAGCGGGUGCCAAUCAACUCCACAACCACUGAUGAGGGGCAGUGCAGACACCAGUCCUCUCUUCCAUAAUGAUCACUGCUGCCCUGCUGGCAAGUGGGGAAACCAGGGCAGGACUGACACCCCCACCCCAGCAGUGACUCCCCCACCCCAGGAGUGACACCCUCACCGGAGUGACACCCCCACCCCAGCAGUCACACCCCCACCCCA